CCUGGAGGCCACAGCUCAGGGACAGUGAGUCCUGGGUCACCCAGAGCGUCUGUGCCUCGGCGAAUGCCCCGGUCUCACGGAUCCCGCCGGCAGAGUCGGGGGCAUGGGGUAGGGAGAGGUGACAAGGAAAGAACGAGUGAGUGAGGGGUGAAUGGGCAGCCCCAGCAGAACUGCGGCGUGUAGAGGAGUUCGGGCUGCGCAGGCCACUCUCUGAGUCUAGGUCUCCCCACUGGAGACUGGUAUUCAUGCCGUGUGUAUCUCAAUAUUCUGAAUCAGUAAAUGUCUAAAAGUUGACGGAACGGUUACUGAGGCUUAACUGCAGAGGUUUUUAUGAGGUCCUGCCUGCCCUGGCAGCUUAGAAGAUCGGAUUCCUCAACACUCACCCUGGAGGCUGUGCCCGGCACUGUUGCUAUGUGGCAUUUAUUGUCUCCGUUGGACAGCUGACGAGCCAAGAGGUAGGAACUAGCUCAACACCUGGAAAUGGUUAAGAGUUUGGUUCUGUGCCCUGCACCCAGAUCCCAGGGAGCCCUGAGCUGGGAGGCCCCUGGGGGUCAAGAGCACCCAAGCCUGGGAAACUGAGGCAGGGAGAGUUACAUCCAUUUUCAGUGUCCACACACCCACACUGGAUCCUUUUGGCUGGAACCCCCUGAGAGGCUUUGGGGAGUGUGACCACCUCCUGGAGAGCCUGCCUUGAUCUGGCCAAAACACUUGACAGGCCAGAGGUUCUGUCACCCUCAAGGUCACACAAUGGGAAGGGGGCUGGGAUUGGAACCCAGGUGGUAUGGCUCCAAGGUCCUAUGCCCCUGACCUCCAAACCACAUUCACCACCCCAUCACCUUCAAUGAUCUGGCAGAGGGUGUUCUGGGCCCUUUUCACACCUGAAGGGAGCCAGGUUCACAGACAGCCCCUGGCCCAAAGUCAGGCAGCUGGGACUUGAACUCAGAGCCCCCUCGACCCUGCUUCCUGGAAGGAUGAACAGACUUCUGCAUCGUGGCCACUGUCCAGAAGGCUAGGUUGGGGGGCCAAAUGUCUCUGGGUCAAGUCCCCUGCGCACCGGUCAACUUCCUGAAGCAGGCUGAGACACUCCUCCACUACCCCCACACACACUCACAGAACUCAGCCCAUCCCCAGGGCAUGACAAGGUCCUGCUUGGAAACUUCUGCACUGCAUUUUCCAUCUGUGGUGUGGCAGAGACAGUGUGGGAAGUAUGUCACCAGCAACCAACCCCCCCUUUGCAACCGCACUCCCCGAAAAGUUUAAGUCGCCCCCAGACUUCCUCUAAGGCAGCCCGGAUUAUCAGAUGUAAUUGCCCGGAGGGUAUUCCUAGCGUUUGGAUAGAGGUGCCGUGGCAGGGUCAUUUCAGGCUCAGCUGGUUCCAGCGCGUACUCCUCUCCUCCUACCGUGACCCCGCCCUGCGUUUGCUCGGGCUCUGCUUAUUGGCUACUCCUGCUGCCACUCACAGGGGGGGUGGGCCCCAGGGAAAGGACGCCGGAGGCUCUAAUUCCUGUCGUUCAUUCAUUCAUUCAUGGAACAGAAACUGAAUUAGGCGUGUUGUGAGAAUUACCUGACAAAAUACUGAAGCCUGGCAAAAAAUGUUACACAAAUGUUAGCUGGUACCAUUAUUAUUACCGCAGUUUUUCUUAAAAACUUUAAUCUCACUUUAAUGGGGUGACUGACUACUGCACUCUGGGUGUUGACAGCCCAACACUUUCAGGUAAUGUAGAGAUUCAGCACUGCAUUGGAUCAAGAAAAUUCAAGGUUCUUUACUGAAUACCUACUGUGUGCUGCGAGGAUGGGGGUAAGCUGCGGGUGGGGCACCUACCCAAGCAGGGCAUGCUGGUGGAGACAACCUGGGUGGGUGCUGCAAGGUCAGACCCAGGCAAGCCUCCAGGGCAAGGCUCCUGCAGGCAGAGGCCUUGGGUGGGAGAGUGUAGCCUGAUCCAUUGAGCCACGAGAGUGGCUGGACAGAGGGCAUGAGGCUGGAGCUGCUGUGCCUAUUGGCCCCUCCCCACUGACCUCAAUCUCAUCCUAUUCUUAAAAUAUCCAGGCAGGGUCAGGAUUAAAAUACAGGAAUUAGGAUUAGUGUUAGGAUUGGGGUCAGGGCUUCUAUACUUGCUAGCUGGGGUCUCCCACACUUCAAGUUUUCACACCUGGUCCUUCACAGAGAAACUGAACCAGCGAGGCCUGCUCAGGGGACAGAGCCUGGGCUGGGAGCCAGGGCUGGAUGGCUUCUCCCUCACCUGCAGAUGGCAGAGCUGGAAGGAGACUGAAAGUGAGUCCAUCUGGUGGAAUGCUGCUCAGCGAUACAAAGAAUGAGCAGUGGGGCCACGAGAUGUGGAGGGGCCUUAGGUGCACAUCACCAAGUGAAGGGAGCCCACCUGGAAAGGCUACGCGCCAAAUGGUUCAAAACCAGGGAGAAAAACCGUUAUACUACACACCUGAAACUAAUACAGUGAACGUGAACUGACAAACUAAAUUUUAAAAACCAGGGAGAAAGGCACAAAUCUUAGCAGUCUGAGUAAACACACACAGAUAAGGACAAUGGCAGCUUUCUUGGAAGCAGAGCAAACCAGAAUGCAGUAGAGCAAGAGCUCUAAAAAUGCUUCAGGAAAAUAAAAAUAGACUAGAAACUCCCGGAGAAGUCAUUGUACAGUCCCUGGCAUCCCACCCCCAAGGGCCCCGGCUCCCAGUGCUGGCACACCAGC